GAAAUUCGCCUUCAUGAAGUCGGAAUUGCUAGUAAUGGCAGGUCAGCAUACUGCCGUGAGUACGUUCCCGGGCCUUGUACACACCGCCCCGUCAAGCCAUGGGAGCCGGGGGCGCCUGAAGUCCGGGACCGCGAGGACCGGCCUAGGGCGAAACUGGUGACUGGGGCUAAGUCGUAACAAGGUAAC
rnacentral:rRNA from 1 species